rnacentral:rRNA from 1 species
CAAGUCGAGCGACGGUACGGACUUGUCCGUAUACGGAGCGGCGAACGGGUGAGUAACACGUGAACAACCUGUCCCUACAUUCCGGAUAAUUGACCGAAAGGUCUUGUAAUACGGGGGAGGACGGUUUCGGGGCAUCUCGAGAUCGGGGAACACGCAAGUGGUGCAGGGAGGGGUUCGCGACCUAUCAGGUAGUUGGUGUGGUAACGGCACACCAAGCCAACGACGGGUAGCUGGUCUGAGAGGAUGGUCAGCCACAUUGGAACUGAGACACUGUCCAGACUCCUACGGGAGGCUGCAGUCGAGAAUCUUGGGCAAUGCACGAAAGUGUGACCCAGCGACGCCGCGUGAAGGAUGAAGGCCCUCUGGGUCGUAAACUUCUUUUAAGGGGAAAGAAUGGCCUUCGGGCUUUGACGGUACCCUUUGAAUAAGCCACGGCUAACUACGUGCCAGCAGCCGCGGUAAUACGUAGGUGGCAAGCGUUGUCCGGAUUUACUGGGCGUAAAGCGAACGCAGGCGGACACUUAAGUGGGAAGUGAAAGGUUGGAGCUCAACUCCGGCACUGCUCCCUAUACUGGGUGUCUUGAGUCUUGGAGAGGAAAGCGGAACGACACGUGUAGCGGUGAAAUGCGUUGAUAUGUGUCGGAACACCGAUGGCGAAAGCAGCUUUCUGGACAAGUACUGACGCUGAGGUUCGAAAGCCAAGGGAGCGAACAGGAUUAGAUACCCUGGUAGUCUUGGCCAUAAACGAUGUUCACUAGGUGUCGGGCUUUGCUUCGGUGCCGCA